GAUAUUUAGAUUUUUCAAGCGCAAUGAUAAAAGACGAUAAUUUCGUUAACCGUCGAGUCGAUUCGGCCCGAACGGCGAAUUACGGAAAAUGGCCCACAAAAACCGGCGGUAUAAUACACACCUCUAGGACAAUACUGCCACAGCUAAAAAAUGUAUAGUCUGAGAAAAAAAAACGAUUUGUAGUUUAUAACUAAGAUAUUCGCCGGUGCUUCGUUCGAAACGAAAAACUCGAAUACUCGCCAACACGCUUUACAGUAUGAUCACUUUUUAAAUAUAAUGAAAUAUUCGCUUAAACCCGAAAAUUCGCACUAAUGGUCUUUAACAAUUUUUCAGGCGAAUGCAAGACUACCGUAUUCUGCGAUGUGACUGUUACAGUGUUGCGUAUUGCGUAUACAACUUAAUUUUAAGAUACACUGAAAUAUGGUAGUGUUGUACUGAACAUAUUGUUAUCGUCAGAAAAUCGUUUU